CGCGGGGUAGAGUAGUUUGGUAGCUCGCAAGGCUCAUAACCUUGAGGUCACUGGUUCAAAUCCUGUCUCCACAA
rfam:Capsicum annuum cultivar Zunla-1 chromosome 10, whole genome shotgun sequence